GUCCUCGAAAAACAUCUAUUAAAAUGAGGCAUGCAUUUUCCACGGGUGCUGAGAUAUGCUGUGUAAGAUGACCCAUAGCUUCUAUGAAUCAAGCUGUUAUUCUGGCUCUUCUCAGGUAAUCAUACGUCCUGUGUCCUGAAGAUCAAGCAGUGGCUAUUUGGGCAUCGAACAACAUAUCUGUGGAGUCAAGUCACACAUUCCUCAACAUAUUAUGCAGACAGAAAAAGAAUGAAAGCCAGAGCCUGUAAAAGUGAUUCUUGGACGGCUUGAAGAGUGUGUAAAAUGUGCGCUAUAAUUUCAGCCUCCUGCAGUGCAAGUGAUUAGCUAAAGAAACACUUUGAACCUGUUAGCUGUACAUCUUUUAAACCAUUUUAAAUUAUGGAA